GUCGCGAAUGCCCUAGAUUUGAGUUUGAUCAUAGGCUCAGAGCUGAGACGCUCGGUCGGUCAGCCUAACACAUGCAAGUCGAACGGCAGCACAGGAGAGCUUGCUCUCUGGGUGGCGAGUGGCGGACGGGUGAGGAAUACAUCGGAAUCUACUCUGUCGUGGGGGAUAACGUAGGGAAACUUACGCUAGUACCGCAUACGACCUACGGGUGAAAGCAGGGGAUCUUCGGACCUUGCGCGAUUGAAUGAGCCGAUGUCGGAUUAGCUAGUUGGCGGGGUAAAGGCCCACCAAGGCGACGAUCCGUAGCUGGUCUGAGAGGAUGAUCAGCCACACUGGAACUGAGACACGGUCCAGACUCCUACGGGAGGCAGCAGUGGGGAAUAUUGGACAAUGGGCGCAAGCCUGAUCCAGCCAUACCGCGUGGGUGAAGAAGGCCUUCGGGUUGGUAAAAUGGCCCCUUUUAGUANAGGGGAANACGGAACAAUCCAAGCCGGGCUUAAAUUAACCUUGGGUUUCGGGGGAUUGGACGGGUUAACCCCAANAUGGAAAUUAAGGCANAUCCGGGGCUUAAACUUUCGGUU
rnacentral:rRNA from 1 species